rnacentral:misc_RNA from 1 species
GAAAUGCGAUAAGUAAUGUGAAUUGCAGAAUUCAGUGAAUCAUCGAAUCUUUGAACGCACCUUGCGCUCCUUGGUAUUCCUUGGAGCAUGCCUGUUUGAGUAUCAUGAAAUCUUCAAAGUAAAUCUUUUGUUAACUCAAUUGGUUUCUACUUUGGUAUUGGAGGUCUUUGCAGCUUCACACCUGCUCCUCUUUGUUCAUUAGCUGGAUCUCAGUGUUAUGCUUGGUUCCACUCGGCGUGAUAAGUUAUCUAUCGCUGAGGACACUGUAAAAUGUAGCCAAGGUAAAUGCAGAUGAACCGCUUCUAAUAGUCCAUUGACUUGGACAAUACUUUUAUGAUCUGAUCUCAAAUCAGGUAGGACUACCCGCUGAACUUAAGC